CGCGCACACACCGCCCGUCACUCUCCCCAAGCCAACCAACACCCCAUAUAUAAUACAUCUUACCGGUAAAGGGGAGGCAAGUCGUAACAUGGUAAGUGUACCGGAAGGUGCACUUGGAAAAAU
rnacentral:rRNA from 1 species